rnacentral:antisense_RNA from 1 species
GGCUACUCCUCAAGAUCCUCUCUGUUGUGAUUCAUCCCCCCCGGGCCCUACAGUUUCUCCUUCCUGACUCUUACAUUUCUUUGGAUGGCAUCAUUAUUUACCUGUCUCCUCCCAUAGUUAGGUGCCAAGCACUGUGGAUUCUGCCCCUCAGUGUCCAGACACCCAUUUUCCUUCCCACUGUUCCUUCCCCAUGGAGAAGCCUGUGGCUGGCUGACAGCAGAGAGAGAUGCUCAACUUGGAGAAGGUGUUACCUGGGCCAGGUGGGGAAGGUUUGUUUGCAGAGCAAAGAAGUGAAGCCUAUUCAACGUGAAAAAGAUGAGGAUGAAGACCUUUAUUAUGAUCCACUUCCAAGUAAUGAACACACUGGAGAAAGUCAGACAGUCAAAACAAUGUCCCAGACUCCGUGAAGUUCCUGGGUAGAGAAGGAGACAGACAUAUACCAUACCUAAUAAUUGGAUGUCCGAGAGAAUGAGAGAAUGGCAGAAAGAACUUUAGAGCAUGGGUAUGAUGGCUAGAGCUUGAGCAGCCAUUGUGGACAUCAGAUGAACUUGAAAGUGAAAACUAUGAGCUGAAUACGACAAAGCAAACAGAUAGAAAACUGGAUUCAUUAUGACAUUGCAAAGCUGCCAGACCAGCUCUAGUCUGCUUCCCCCUAAUCUUCCUUACUAAGAGAGAGAAAUAAACUUCCAUCUUCUUCAAG